GAUAUACAUGGAAGCAGACUGUUG
rnacentral:piRNA from 1 species